rnacentral:rRNA from 1 species
UGGGGAAUAUUGGACAAUGGGCGCAAGCCUGAUCCAGCAAUGCCGCGUGGAUGAAGAAGGUCUUCGGAUUGUAAAGUCCUUUCGGCGGGGACGAUGAUGACGGUACCCGCAGAAGAAGCCCCGGCUAACUUCGUGCCAGCAGCCGCGGUAAUACGAAGGGGGCUAGCGUUACUCGGAAUGACUGGGCGUAAAGGGCGCGUAGGCGGUUUGGACAGUUAGGCGUGAAAUUCCUGGGCUCAACCUGGGGGCUGCGCUUAAUACAUCCAGACUUGAGUGUGGAAGAGGGUCGUGGAAUUCCCAGUGUAGAGGUGAAAUUCGUAGAUAGUGGGAAGAACACCGGUGGCGAAGGCGGCGACCUGGUCCAUUACUGACGCUGAGGCGCGAAAGCGUGGGGAGCAAACA